CGCGUAGGCGGCUGGAUAAGUCAGAUGUGAAAGUCCAUGGCUCAACUGUGGAAGUGCAUUUGAAACUGUCUAGCUUGAGGUAUCGGAGGGGAGUGUGGAAUUCCCGGUGUAGAGGUGAAAUUCGUAGAGAUCGGGAGGAACACCGGUGGCGAAGGCGACACUCUGGACGAAUACUGACGCUGAGGCGCGAAAGCGUGGGGAGCAAACGA
rnacentral:rRNA from 1 species